rnacentral:snoRNA from 1 species
GGGCAGCCAUUAAGGCCAAAUGAGUUCCUUUCUUGUGGGCCGCGAGUGUGCAAUGGUGCACACACAGCUUCCUUGGGUAGUGUCCACAGCCUGUUGUUGAUGCGUUGCUCUAAGGGACCUUUGAGACAGGC